rnacentral:misc_RNA from 1 species
UCGUAACAAGGUCUCCGUUGGUGAACCAGCGGAGGGAUCAUUACCGAGUUUACAACUCCCAAACCCCUGUGAACAUACCAAUUGUUGCCUCGGCGGAUCAGCCCGCUCCCGGUAAAACGGGACGGCCCGCCAGAGGACCCCUAAACUCUGUUUCUAUAUGUAACUUCUGAGUAAAACCAUAAAUAAAUCAAAACUUUCAACAACGGAUCUCUUGGUUCUGGCAUCGAUGAAGAACGCAGCAAAAUGCGAUAAGUAAUGUGAAUUGCAGAAUUCAGUGAAUCAUCGAAUCUUUGAACGCACAUUGCGCCCGCCAGUAUUCUGGCGGGCAUGCCUGUUCGAGCGUCAUUUCAACCCUCAAGCCCAGCUUGGUGUUGGGACUCGCGAGUCAAAUCGCGUUCCCCAAAUUGAUUGGCGGUCACGUCGAGCUUCCAUAGCGUAGUAGUAAAACCCUCGUUACUGGUAAUCGUCGCGGCCACGCCGUUAAACCCCAACUUCUGAAUGUUGACCUCGGAUCAGGUAGGAAUACCCGCUGAACCUAAGCAUAUCU